rnacentral:rRNA from 1 species
GGUGCCCCCCUCGUGUAUUGCGGAAUAACCAAUGUAUGCGUCUAGCGAAAGCGUUAAGCACUACAAACAUGGGAGUACGCCGGCAACGGUUGAAACUCCAAGGGAAAUUGACGGGGCCCGCACCAAGCGGAGGAAACAUGUGGUUUUAAUUUCGAUGAUACGCGAGGAAACCUUUACCCCGGGCUUGAACUGCAGGAGGAACGAUCCAGGAGAUGGUGAGGCCCUUCGGGGCUCCUGUGGAGGUGCUGCAUGGUUGCCGUCAGCUCGUGCCCGUGAGGUGUCGGCUUAAGUGCCCAUAACGAGCGCAACCCUUUUCGUCAGUUGCCAUCAGGUGAUGCUGGGCACUCUGGCGAUACUGCCACCGUAAGGUGUGAGGAAGGUGGGGAUGACGUCAAAUCAGCACGGCCCUUACGUCCGGGGCUACACACGUGUUACAAUGGGGCAUACAGAAGGGCGGAGAUGAACGCAAGUGCGAUCAAAUCUUAAAAGUGUCCCUCAGUUCGGAUUGGGGUCUGCAACCCGACCCAAAGAAGCUGGAUUCGCUAGUAAUCGCGCAUCAGCCAUGGCGCGGUGAAUACGUUCCCGGGCCUUGUACACACCGCCCGUCAAGCCAUGAAAGCCGGGGGCGCCUGAAGUCCGUGACCGCAAGGGUCGGCCUAGGGUGAAACCGGUGAUUGGGGCUAAGUCGUAACAAGUGCCUAAUCUAGAGCACCGCGAGUCUCCGUGCUCGAAUCACCGGCCGUUGUUUCAA